rnacentral:rRNA from 1 species
AUUGGCUACCUUGUUACGACUUCACCCCAGUCAUGAAUCCUACCGUGGUAAUCGCCCCCCUUGCGGUUAGGCUAACUACUUCUGGUAAAACCCACUCCCAUGGUGUGACGGGCGGUGUGUACAAGACCCGGGAACGUAUUCACCGCGACAUGCUGAUCCGCGAUUACUAGCGAUUCCGACUUCACGCAGUCGAGUUGCAGACUGCGAUCCGGACUACGAUCGGGUUUCUGGGAUUGGCUCCCCCUCGCGGGUUGGCGACCCUCUGUCCCGACCAUUGUAUGACGUGUGAAGCCCUACCCAUAAGGGCCAUGAGGACUUGACGUCAUCCCCACCUUCCUCCGGUUUGUCACCGGCAGUCUCAUUAGAGUGCCCUUUCGUAGCAACUAAUGACAAGGGUUGCGCUCGUUGCGGGACUUAACCCAACAUCUCACGACACGAGCUGACGACAGCCAUGCAGCACCUGUGUUCCGGUUCUCUUGCGAGCACUGCCAAAUCUCUUCGGCAUUCCAGACAUGUCAAGGGUAGGUAAGGUUUUUCGCGUUGCAUCGAAUUAAUCCACAUCAUCCACCGCUUGUGCGGGUCCCCGUCAAUUCCUUUGAGUUUUAAUCUUGCGACCGUACUCCCCAGGCGGUCAACUUCACGCGUUAGCUGCGCUACCAAGGCCCGAAGGCCCCAACAGCUAGUUGACAUCGUUUAGGGCGUGGACUACCAGGGUAUCUAAUCCUGUUAAU